UACGUAGGGUGCGAGCGUUAAUCGGAAUUACUGGGCGUAAAGCGUGCGCAGGCGGUUCGUUGUGUCGGUGGUGAAAGCCCCGGGCUUAACCUGGGAAUGGCCAUGGAAACUGGCGAACUGGAGUGUGGCAGAGGGGGGUGGAAUUCCGCGUGUAGCAGUGAAAUGCGUAGAUAUCGUGAGGAACACCAGAGGCGAAGGCGACUUCCUGGACAAUUGCUGACGCUCAGGCACGAAAGCGUGGGGAGCCAAAGGG
rnacentral:rRNA from 1 species